CAACAAAUUCUCCAAAGAUUUAUGUCCCAAAAACGACAAGUUCUUCGAGAUAAGUAACUCAUCAGAAUAAUUACCAGUAUCAGUAUCAGAAGUCUCACUACCACUCCCUGUACUUUCACUUUUUUUUUGGUUUUUUUUUUUCUUUUUUUUCUCA
rnacentral:ribozyme from 1 species